GGCGGCGUGCCUAAUACAUGCAAGUCGAGCGAAUGGAUUAAGAGCUUGCUCUUAUGAAGUUAGCGGCGGACGGGUGAGUAACACGUGGGUAACCUGCCCAUAAGACUGGGAUAACUCCGGGAAACCGGGGCUAAUACCGGAUAACAUUUUGAACCGCAUGGUUCGAAAUUGAAAGGCGGCUUCGGCUGUCACUUAUGGAUGGACCCGCGUCGCAUUAGCUAGUUGGUGAGGUAACGGCUCACCAAGGCAACGAUGCGUAGCCGACCUGAGAGGGUGAUCGGCCACACUGGGACUGAGACACGGCCCAGACUCCUACGGGAGGCAGCAGUAGGGAAUCUUCCGCAAUGGACGAAAGUCUGACGGAGCAACGCCGCGUGAGUGAUGAAGGCUUUCGGGUCGUAAAACUCUGUUGUUAGGGAAGAACAAGUGCUAGUUGAAUAAGCUGGCACCUUGACGGUACCUAACCAGAAAGCCACGGCUAACUACGUGCCAGCAGCCGCGGUAAUACGUAGGUGGCAAGCGUUAUCCGGAAUUAUUGGGCGUAAAGCGCGCGCAGGUGGUUUCUUAAGUCUGAUGUGAAAGCCCACGGCUCAACCGUGGAGGGUCAUUGGAAACUGGGAGACUUGAGUGCAGAAGAGGAAAGUGGAAUUCCAUGUGUAGCGGUGAAAUGCGUAGAGAUAUGGAGGAACACCAGUGGCGAAGGCGACUUUCUGG
rnacentral:rRNA from 1 species